GUCCAAUAAGUGGGCUUGAAAGCUUAUUUGAAAGUCCUAGCAAGGGAUUAUUCUUCUCAUAUUCUUGGUCAAAGAGUGAUAGUCGUACAUUAUAAAAUUAGUCUUUACAAAGCCUGCUAAGGACAUGCAUCAAGAUGAAUGAAGAAGAGGACCUCAGCCAGGUCAACGGAAUCAACCCUGGGUGUCAACAGAGUGAUGGAUGCCUCAGCCCAUUCACUCCCACAGUCUCCCUGCCACUUUCCUUCACCUUCCCCUCCAUUCUUUCCACUUUCUCAUGCCCAACACACCCAAUGCCCUCCUAUGGCCUGCUGGCUGCCCAGGACCCUCCAUGGAGCUUUGCUUCUGGGAAGAAAACGACCCGUGCUUCCGUUCUCUUCUUCUCCUCUUGCCUAGUCCCCUUCCUUUCAAAUGCAGACUUCAUACCCUGCUCACUCUGGAACAUGCCAAAGGAAGCUGGUGCAUUAACCUGUAAGGAAUGUUUCUGAUGAUAAGCAGGAAUUUAAUUCACCCUGGCAGUCCCCUGGGCCUGUUGGGUUGGCUGGGUGGGACUUUCCUCAUCUCUCAGCUUGUACUUUACAGAUGUUGCUGACUAUGCCUUUAUAUUCAGCAGACUCUGCUUAGAAAAGUUAGUGAAUUCAUUAACUAUACUUCCUGAAACCACCUGAUAAAUAAUCAGUGCCCAAGUCCUUGAUUUGAAUAAGGAGUUUCCAAGGAUGAAGAUGCUCAUAUUAAAGACACGGAAAGAAGCACAGAGAAACAGGCUUUUCAAUUUUUGUGAAGUUUGCUCUCAAAUUUUGACUCAAUAUUUCGGGAAAAGACUGAUCUAAAACUUAGAAUGUGAUCACGGUCCACAGAAGCUCUUCACCAGAGAGUAUCCUGUGCAACUCCAGUCCUACGAGACGCUCUGUGAAGGGUCAAAUCAUCAGCAGAGCGUGCUUAGCAUUUGGGAAGAGUCACAGCGUACAAAAGACCAGGACAAGAACUCCAGCAAGAGAUUCUACUUAACCCACUGUUUCCCAAACUAAUAAACCACAGAAACCCUUUGCCAAAUAUUGAUGGACCUCACGUUCUGCAUUGUAUAUGCUGAAGAAAGCUCGUCAUGGUAAUAUGGCUGAUUUUUAAGCAAAGACGCUAAAAUGUGAAUCCUAAUAUAUUCUGUCCCAUUUGGGAAAAGUCAUCUUAGGAGGCUGUUCAUUUAUUCCUGUGAUGUUGUUCUAAAUCUUAAAAUGCUUCAAUGAUUUUGGGGAACGUUUCUUUCGGCAUUCCCUUUAGAGCCAGAGUCACAGAGGAAAAUCAGUCUUAUUACUUUACAAUCAUACCUCGUUGCUGACCCAAAAGACUGUCUGUGAACUCGGUCACCCUUCUCACUUACCAGACUUGGUGCUGAAUAAAAUUGCUUUAAAAAAAUAACAAAUAAAACUUCAAAGGAUGAAGAGUUUCCAAGGGUGAAGAUGCUCAUACUGAAGGUAAUUUAGCUUCUUGGCUACACUGAGGUGAAGUGUUUUUGAGUCAGGAUGAUGGACAGGAUUGACUGCUCUGAGCCACCACCUCAAAAGAAGUCUUUGUUCUUAUGCUCCCUGUUCACUUGGCUUCCUUUGGCCAACUCCUUCCAUCAGUUUCCUUGUUCUUGGCUACACUCAGUUCCUAGCUGUGUCCCAUACUCGGUCUGUGCCCUGUGUGUUGAUCUAGGGCAUCCCCCCAGGUAGGCACAAUCUCUUGGCUUCUAUCUUUUGCAUGCAUCUUACUUUGUGUUUCUACCUGCUUUCUUGUUUGGUUUUCUGCCUGGUAAAAUCCUUGUCUAUUAUUUCUGGAUUUCUGUUCCUACCUAAGUUGAAAUUUCUCAACUGUUAUUCUUGAGUAUCCUGACUCCUGGCUGAAGUGUCUUCUUGUUACCUUGCUUGAACAUCUCUAGUGCCUCUAAUAUGGCCAACCUCUAUAUUCCUGGCUGGCAUUAGUGUCACUUAGAAAACAUCUGGCUUAGACUUUGAGAUUCAGAAUUUAUUAAUUUGGCAUAUAUGUGUUGAAUGACUAAUAUACAUCAGAUACUGCUGUGAGUGUUAGAGAUGAAAAAGCGUUGAUAACACACUGCUACUUUCUAGGUACACCAUCUAGUAGAAGAGAUGAUGUGACACAAAACUAUAUAAGUGUACUGGGAUUGGGA
rnacentral:lncRNA from 1 species